GUAACUUUGGCAACACAUAUACUAAAAUUGGAACAAUACAGAAAGGUUAGCAUGGCCCCUGUGCAAGGAUGAUAUGCAAAUUCAUGAAGCAUUCCAUAUCGUC